rnacentral:rRNA from 1 species
UACGUAGGGUGCAAGCGUUGUCCGGAAUUAUUGGGCGUAAAGAGCUCGUAGGCGGUCUGUUGCGUCUGCUGUGAAAUCUCAAGGCUCAACCUUGAGCUUGCAGUGGGUACGGGCAGACUAGAGUGUGGUAGGGGAGACUGGAAUUCCUGGUGUAGCGGUGAAAUGCGCAGAUAUCAGGAGGAACACCGAUGGCGAAGGCAGGUCUCUGGGCCACUACUGACGCUGAGAAGCGAAAGCAUGGGGAGCGAACAGG